rnacentral:rRNA from 1 species
UACGUAGGGGACGAGCGUUGUCCGGAGUGAUUGGGCGUAAAGGGCCCGCAGGCGGCCCUCCGCGUUUGAGGUAACAGCUCCCGGCUUCACUGGGAGAGCGCCUUGAAGACGGGAGGACUCAGAGGACCAGAGAGGGACACCGAAUUCCGGGUGGAGUGGUGAAAUGCGUAGAGAUCCGGAGGAAGACCGAUGGCGAAGGCCGUGUCCUGGCUGGUACCUGACGCUCAGGGGCGAAAGCUAGGGGAGCGAACGG